GCAGCCGCCGCGGUAAAACGUAGGUGGCAAGCGUUGUCCGGAAUUAUUGGGCGUAAAGGGCUCGCAGGCGGUUUCUUAAGUCUGAUGUGAAAGCCCCCGGCUCAACCGGGGAGGGUCAUUGGAAACUGGGAAACUUGAGUGCAGAAGAGGAGAGUGGAAUUCCACGUGUAGCGGUGAAAUGCGUAGAGAUGUGGAGGAACACCAGUGGCGAAGGCGACUCUCUGGUCUGUAACUGACGCUGAGGAGCGAAAGCGUGGGGAGCGAACAGGAUUAGAGACCCCUGUAGUCCCUGUCUCUUAUAC
rnacentral:rRNA from 1 species